rnacentral:rRNA from 1 species
ACGCUGGCGGCGUGCCUAACACAUGCAAGUCGAACGAGGUCCAAGGAAGCUUGCUUCCUGAAGACUUAGUGGCGAACGGGUGAGUAACACGUGAGAAACCUGCCUCGGAGUGGGAAUAACUCGGGGAAACUCGAGCUAAUACCGCAUACCUUCACAUGAUCGCAUGGUCGAGUGAAGAAAGAAUUUCGCUCUGAGAGGGUCUCGCGGCCUAUCAGCUUGUUGGUGGGUAACGGCCUACCAAGGCAACGACGGGUAGCUGGUUUGAGAGAACGAUCAGCCACACUGGGACUGAGACACGGCCCAGACUCCUACGGGAGGCAGCAGUGGGGAAUCUUGCGCAAUGGGCGAAAGCCUGACGCAGCAACGCCGCGUGCGGGAUGACGGCCUUCGUGGUUGUAAACCGCUUUCAGCAGGGACGAAAAUGACGGUACCUGCAGAAGAAGCCCCGGCUAACUACGUG